UAGGGAAUAUUGGACAAUGGGAGAAAUCCUGAUCCAGCGACGCCGCGUGAGUGACGAAGGCCUUCGGGUCGUAAAGCUCUGUUGUACAAGAAAAAGGGUACACUACUAAUACCAGUGCACUUUGAUUGUACUGUAUAAGAAAGGACCGGCUAACUUCGUGCCAGCAGCCGCGGUAAGACGAGGGGUCCUAGCGUUGUUCGGAAUCACUGGGCGUAAAGCGUAUGUAGGCGGCUUUUCAAGUCAGGUGUGAAAUCCCAUGGCUUAACCAUGGAACUGCAUUUGAAACUGUAAAGCUUGAGUAUUGGAGAGGAUGGUAGAAUUCCUGGUGUAGUGGUGAAAUACGUAGAUAUCAGGAGGAAUACCGGUGGCGAAGGCGGCCAUCUGGCCAAAUACUGACGCUGAGAUACGAAAGUGUGGGGAUCAAACAGGAUUAGAUACCCCCGUAGUCC
rnacentral:rRNA from 1 species